GCAUGAGCAUUACGAGAUAGUGAGAUUUGCUAGAUCCAGUUCAUGAAUGGAUGGUUCCCGGUUGGCCACCCGACGGUCUACGUUGGAGAGGAGUGUAAGCUCCGGACAGGGGCGAGCGGUUGCGACAUCACGCGAGUCGAGGGGUUGAUCAAAUGUCGUGUUUUACCGC